UUUUUCCUGGAUAUGCCAACAUGGUAUCUGAGUCCUUGAAAACCACAUGAAUCACUCACAUAGAUUUUUCUACCAUCGUCUUCAGAGUGUUUCCUUUCUAAGGACCAACAAGAGCUUUUUCUGAGAAGAAUCCAACAAUUUCCACUCCUCCCAAGUAAAACUAACAGUCACAUCUUCAAAUGUUACUGCCAUCUGGUCGAAGAUUAGCUUUCCAGGAGGAAGCAAUCUAAAUAAGAAGAUGGACAACGAAAAAAACAUUCAGCAUGUAACAUAAGUGGUAAACCAAAAAGAAAUAACUCUAAUAAUGAAGAAAAACAAGAAAAGUAAGAAGAGACAUAACAUAGGUCAAGUGGUUAAAUAAUGUAUAUAAUCAAUGAAUACCAUCACCAUCAUAAGAAACAUUUAUAUACCAUUUGUCUGCUAACCACUGGGCCAGGGUGGUCUUUAAUGGCUGGCCUUCUGCCCCAAAUGGUAUAUGGAUUUGAGCUUCUCCAAAGUUCACGGGCUCAUCAGUUCCUUUCUUGUCUGUUUUACUCUGCUGUACUCUGGGAUAAAACAUCUUUAGCCCUAAAUGGCUCUGAUCGCUAUUCCUACGUUGCCAUCCAGGUUUUUGUUGAAAUUUCUCAUUUGCUAAUGGCUCUUCAGUUUCAUCAUUGCCUACUGCUGCUUUACCUCCUAAGCAAAAGUGAGAGAAGUUAAAAACAACUUGUGAAGGGUGGUAAAUCAAGAUUUCCCCACACAGCCAUAUGAUGUUAAUAUAGAAGGAUAAAAGGAAGAUAUACUGAAAUAUUCAAGGAUUCAAAAUAUACCACCCAGGUACCAUUUUCCAAAUAAACUAAAUAAAAACCCAUGAAAAGUGAAACAUUAAUCACAAAUAUGAAUUCAAGAAUGAGAAGAUAACAGUGCUACUUAUUUUUUAAAUGUUUAUAAAUGCUAAAAAUUUUAAAGACAGUAAGUUUACUUAACACAUACAAAUUGGGAUUCUCAGAAACUGACAAACUAGUGUCAGUAUGAAAAAGAAAUGAACU